rnacentral:rRNA from 1 species
UAACAAGGUUUCCGUAGGUGAACCUGCGGAAGGAUCAUUACCGAGUGAGGGCCCUCUGGGUCCAACCUCCCACCCGUGUUUAUUUUACCUUGUUGCUUCGGCGGGCCCGCCUUAACUGGCCGCCGGGGGGCUUACGCCCCCGGGCCCGCGCCCGCCGAAGACACCCUCGAACUCUGUCUGAAGAUUGUAGUCUGAGUGAAAAUAUAAAUUAUUUAAAACUUUCAACAACGGAUCUCUUGGUUCCGGCAUCGAUGAAGAACGCAGCGAAAUGCGAUACGUAAUGGUGAAUUGCAAAUUCAGUGAAUCAUCGAGUCUUUGAACGCACAAUUGCGCCCCCUGGUAUUCCGGGGGGCAUGCCUGUCCGAGCGUCAUUUCUGCCCUCAAGCACGGCUUGUGUGUUGGGCCCCGUCCUCCGAUCCCGGGGGACGGGCCCGAAAGGCAGCGGCGGCACCGCGUCCGGUCCUCGAGCGUAUGGGGCUUUGUCACCCGCUCUGUAGGCCCGGCCGGCGCUUGCCGAUCAACCCAAAUUUUUAUCCAGGUUGACCUCGGAUCAGGUAGGGAUACCCGCUGAACUUAAGCAUAUCAAUAAGCGGAGGAAAAGAAACCAACAGGGAUUGCCCCAGUAACGGCGAGUGAAGCGGCAAGAGCUCAAAUUUGAAAGCUGGCUCCUUCGGGGUCCGCAUUGUAAUUUGUAGAGGAUGCUUCGGGAGCGGUCCCUAUCU